GAUGAACGCUGACAGCAUGCUUAACACAUGCAGUCACUGAUUGUGGCGUACGGGUGAGUAACGCGUACAGAACUUACCUCCCAGUUAGGGACAACAUUCGGAAACGAAUGAUAAUACCUAAUACUGGGAGAGAGCUUUGCGUACCAUCAGUUAGUUGGCGAGGUAACGGCUCACCAAGGCGAUGAUGGGUAGCCGGCCUGAGCGGGUGAUCGGCCACGAGGGGACUGAGACACGGCCGUUACGCCGACGGGAGGCAGGAGUGGGGAAUAUUGGAGAAUGGACGAAAGUUGGAUCCGGCAAUUGUGUGGGAACGAUGAAGUUUUCGGAAUGUAAAGUGUUUGCAGUGGGGAAGCGGUAACAACAGAGGAAGGGACGGCUAAAUACGUGCCAGCAGCCGCGGUAAUUC
rnacentral:rRNA from 1 species